CAUCCCUUCUCCUAUCUUAUUUAUCCUUACUGCAUCAUAUCAGGUUGUUGUAUGUUUUCUAGAACACAUCAUUAAAGCUUGAUUAGUCCACUAAUAGUUUAAUUAUUUAUUUGGUUGUUGAGGUUCAGUCUUUUUCUGCUCUAUCAGAGCUUGUAGGUGUAGUUCUAGAUAGCACAAGGAUUUAGGCAAUUUGUUCGUAAUGGCAAAGUACACUAAUUCUAAAACUCAAAUCAUUCUACAUGACCUGAGCUUGGUCUAUUGACUAGGAACGUAUGAAGCAAACUUGAACCAGGUUUGCUAUAUACAGAAGGAGUUAAGUAAAAUAUUGGUUCUUACUGUGCAGUUCAUUGAGCCAUCGACCAACACUAUCAAAAGUCUGACGCCUGCUAAUAUCCACAGCUCCCCGGUAGUAAGCAGAAGUUACUGCUCGAAAGCGUUUUUGUCCAGCAGUGUCCCAGAUCUGAGCUUUAAUCUCCUUUCCAUCGAUUACCAACUUUUGUGUCUGGAACUCCACUCCUAUAGUGGACUUAGAGUUUGGGUACAACUCAUUCCUUGCAAAUCUUGCUAGCAAGUUUGAUUUACCAACAGAGGAAUCCCCAAGCAGAACAAUUUUGAAGAGAUAAUUCUGGCUUUGUCCAUCAUCUCCAUCAUAGGCCAUUGUGGAACAACUCUAUAGCUACUGCUGCCCUUCUAGGUCUUGACAAAAUCACAACACCUGUCAUGUGUAACAUAUAAAAUUUCUUAGUUAUAUCACAAAACAAACUCUAAAGAACUAGGAAUAUGUCAUAUUCAGUAAUUCAGACCCCUUUGGAAGGAAGGAAUUUCACAGGAAUAAUAUAGAGUUUCAUAGGAAUCAGUUUAUUUUCACAGGAAAAAUGCAGAAUACAGGACAAAUUCGCAUCAGCUUGAGCAAGUUGAAACUUACAGUAUGCCUCCAACAAAAGAAAGCUUGAACAGAAGCACCACAAUCAAUUGGAAGCAAACGAAGCGUUCAUUAGGAAGCGUUCAAAUAUAUUGCUUUAAGAUCACAAUUCAGUGGCCUCCAAUUCAGUGGCCGGACAUCCUAAAUUUCAGCAAUCUAAGUUUCUGUUUUCAUUGUUGCAGUGCAGAUCAUGAGGCUUUGGAGAUGAUCCUAAUGUGAUUUUACUGAAAAACAUAUAUUGAGUUCCUUGUAAUUUAUUUUUUUAUGGGCAUGAUCCUAAUGUGAGUUUACUGAAAAACACUAUAAUAUUCUUUGAGGUAACUGAAAAGCUGGGCAACAUGAAGUUGCUCAACAGCUCAAACUGUAGAUAAGUUAACACAACUUAGAUGAAAGUCCAGCUGCCAUAACCUGAAGGGCAGUUGCACAACUGAUUCUAGAGGUCAAGUACGAAUUAAGACCUCUACCUAUACUAUAAUAUAUUUAGGGGGAAUUAAACACAUUACCUGCAGAGAAUGGAUGAUGAUCUGCAAGGUGCAGCUCCACUGGCAAGUCUUCAUUUCCUCAAUGUAGACAUGUACUAAAUAUUUGGUGCAGUGCAACAAGCUUUGAAAGGUAACUUCAGUUGACGACAACGUGCAGCUGACCUCCAAACAACAACAGCAGUUUCAUUAACAGGAUUCGGCGGAGAGCGAGAAAAGCACAGGAUUCGGCGGCAUUGGCGGCUUCGACUUUCUUGAUCUUGGUUUAGGGGUUGCUGGCCAAAAUCUUGGAAUGCCCAGUGAUGAUAAGUGGAGGCAGCAGGAAAUUCUAGAGCUUGAGGUUUAUCUAAAGAGGAUCGAACUUGUGCGGGAACAGGUUACCGCUGCUUGAGAAGACCUCAGGUCAUCAGAAGGUUGCUUUGGCGAUCUUCUUGCAUAGUCUUUUUGCUAGACCCUGUCUUGUAGAGUACCUUAUUUUCUUAGGAGAGUUGCUCGUUACAAAAUUCUCAUUGUACUUGAUUUAAGUUAAGUGCUUGUAGUUGUCAUAAGAUUAGAGGCUGAAAAGAUUGAUUUGUAGGUCAUAUAGCUCAAGUGGACAGUAAUCCUCAAACAUCUUUAAUUUAGUUAUAGAUGUAGCGACACCCCCCAGGGCUGGCCCUGUAUCCUAUGGUUUGAUCACAAUGGAACCUAUGCAAAAUAAUGAAGGUCGUACACCGUUUGAAGACUUGACAAACACCACCAAUCGAGGUGACAAGACAACAUCAGAUUCACAAGCGCAAGUUGAUGAACGUGUGCAACGUAAAAGGGAUAGAGAAAAAGCACGACAUGCAUUAAUGACUCAAACCGAAAGGGAUGAAAAAAAUAAAAAAGUUAGGGAAAAGUAUCAUCAAAAAAAGACAGAAACUGAAAUAUCUACUGGCUCAAUAGGUCCACCACAAACAAUUUUUAACAACCAAACAUAGAAUAAAUAUUUGUUCUCAUAUAGUUACUUUAUCUUUAAUUAUUAUGUAAAUAGGUGUUGGGGUUGAAUCUAACAAGGAAAACACAGAUGCCAUGAGUCUAAAAAGGGAAAGGGUAAAGACACGAUUUAUGGCGAUGACUCAGGAAGAAAGAAAUGAAAAAAAUAGAAAGCGUCGUGAACGAUAUCAUCAGAAAAAAAAUAGUUGGAUUUCAAACAACCACAGAGAACACUGAUGGCUAUGAAGAUAGUGACUGGCUACAUCGAAACGACUCAUACAAUCCCAUGCAGAUUGAUAAAGAUAACACAUGUACCAUUUUGAUUUUUUUUGUUCAUAUUACUAAUUAUUUUUUCUUGUGUUUUUUAAUGUGGAGGCCAAAGUUAAAAUCAUGUUAUUAUAUAUAUGUAGAUGAAUACUCUGAUACAUGUAUAAAUCAAAGUGGCAUGAUUGACAGGACUGAUGCAUCACUUGAUAUAACCCCAGGUGUUAUAAAUGCAUCCAGUUCCAUCGAUAAUUUAGUCAAGUGUCCAAAAGAGCGUAUGCGUGAGCUACAUAGAGCACGAAGGGCUGCAAUGUCUCCUGAGCAAAAGGCGUUAUUAAAUAAGAGACGACGUGACUUGUACGCACAGAAAAAUGCUGCAAGAAAACUGCAAAUGACUCCACAAGAAAAGAAAGUGAAACGGAAAGAGAGCAAAAAAUACUAUAAUAGGAUGGUGAGGGAAAACCGAGCCAACAAUUUGCAUCCGGACUCAAUUGCCAUGGAGAGCCCUCACUUCAACUCUCAAAUUAUUUUCCCUGUUUCACCUCAAUCGCCUGAAGCAUCUUUAGAUGAUAUGGAAAUACCUGAAUUCGGCGGCACGCCUGUCCACAUUGCACCAACUGUAGUUCAAAAUCCAGAAGUCCAGACCCCGGAAUUGGUUGCGGCACAGACCAUACAUAGACAUCGAGUGACCACUGGCGAGAGAAAUGCCCUUCUGUCCCGUCGCAAUCGGGUUUUUGAAGCAAACAUUGGAAGAAGCGCUAGAGGUUCUGCAGAUGGAAAAUGCAACGAUUCGAACGGACUGACUCAACCGAGUGUUGUUUGCAACGAUGGUGUCACCCAAGAAACUCCAAUUCAAGCAUCUAAUAAUUGUAUAGGCACACAAACACAACCGUCUGUAGCUGACGGUACCUCUUCAAUGCCUCCAUAUAGUGCACAAGAUCAUACAUCAGACUCUAUGGUCGAGGAUGACUAUGACAAAGAUGUCAUAUUUGAGGAGGACGAGGAAGAGGAUGAGGCAUACUUUUUCGCCGGUCAAGAUGAGGAGGAGGGAACCGAUGUCGACACAUAUGAGCAAGAGAAUAGUGAGCCUGAUGUCCCAGAUCCAUAUGACCGGGUCUAUGCUAAUGUCCCGUCAGAGUCGCACAUGUUACCCUUGGUGCCGAACUGCAAGCACUGUAACGCAAAGAAAUUCGAUGGCGAACCCCUCCGGAUUCUGUUGUAGGGGUGGAAAGUUUCAAGUCCUGAGACACCACCAGAGCUCAUGAGGUUGUGGUCAAGCUCGGACGCUGAUGCUAGGCACUUUCGUGCAAACAUCAGAUACUUCAACGGCCACUUCUCUUUCACAUCUUUGUACUGCCAUCUAGAUCGUAUCACCACUAACAUGCGAAUCUGUGGUGUCUACACAUUUCGUGCCCUUGGUCAGAUUUACCAUAACAUACGAUCAUUUGGUAAAGAGGAAGGUGUCGAAAAAAGACACCUCGAACUUUAUUUUUAUGAUGACGAUCCGUCCCUCGAGCAUCGCAUGAGCAAGUGUCGUGAGCAAUGUGCUCAAAAAGACAGAGAAGUUAUACAACAAUUGGUAGGGAUCCUUGAAGGGAAUCCCUACUCUCAGCAACUAAGAAGUAUGGGUCAUGUUGAAAACCUCGAGGAUUACCGAGUUGAGCUGAACCUUGACCAACGCCUUGAUCAAAGAACAUAUAAUGUGCCGUUGACAUCAGAGGUGGCUGCCGUAUGGGUUGAGGGUAGUGAGCGUCACGGCCAAUUUGAGCAUAGUGUUCUCCUCCAAGGGAAGGAUCGGUCUAUACAUGGCAUCCGCUCAUAUAAUGCAUGCUACGACUCACUAUCAUACCCGUUGUUCUUUCCAAAGGGUGAGCUCGGGUGGCACAAUUGCAUUCCAAAAGUGGGUGUAACUAUGGCUCAAAUUGAUCGAGCUCGAGCAACCCGUAAAAGGCGUGCUGAGAAUGGUGACGACGAUGGAGAACCUGUUUCAAAUACAUGUGUCUCAGUGCGCGACUACUAUUGCUACAAGUUUCAGAUGCGGCCAGGGAUAUUUAAUCCAAUACUCUAUGGCCGACGCCUUUUCCAGCAGUUUGCCGUCGACACCUACAUCAAGAUUGAGAGCUCACAUUUAGACUACAUGAGGAACAAUCGGGAUACAUUGAGGGCUGACCUAUACCAAGGCCUCGUGGAUAGCAUGCAUUCGGGUGAAGGGUCUGCUGAGAAUGUUGGACGGCGUACUGUGUUGUCUUCGUCAUUCAUUGGAGGACCACGUGACAUGAGGCGUCGAUACAUGGAUGCAAUGGCUCUGGUUCGAAAGUAUGGUAAACCUGAUAUCUUCCUCACAAUGACAUGCAACCCUAAUUGGGAUGAGAUCAAGAAUGAACUUUACCCAGGCCAGACACCACAGGACCGCCCAGAUCUCGUCACACGGGUCUUCAGAGCAAAGUUGGAUGCAAUGAGAAAAAUGUUGAUGGAGAAAGACAUACUUGGUAAGGUGAAGGCCUACGUAUAUGUAGUAGAGUUCCAAAAGAGGGGAUUGCCGCAUGCACACUUCUUGCUAAUAAUGGAACGAAAGUACAAGCUCACAUGUCCCGAGCAAUAUGACAUGAUCAUUAGUGCAGAGCUACCAAAUAAGAAAAAAUACCCUGAGCUAUACAAAAUGGUCACGAAGCAUAUGAUGCAUGGUCCUUGCGGGACGCUUAAUCCAUCCUGUCCAUGCACGGCAGGCCGUGGGUCAAGCAAGAACCGUUACCCACGGCCAUUCUGUGAGGCAACAUCACAGGGAAAGGAUUCAUAUCCCAUCUAUCGGCGACGCAAUGAUGGGCGCAUGCUAAAAGUUCGAGGCCACUACUUGGACAAUCAAUGGGUUGUGCCUUACAACCCUUGCUUGCUUCGUACCUUCAACUGCCAUAUAAACGUUGAGGCUUGUGGGAGCAUUAAAUCAGUAAAGUAUUUGUUCAAGUACAUAUACAAGGGACAUGAUAGGGCAUCAAUUGUGAUGAGGGAGACCGACAAAGAGGACGGGAAAGGAAACAUUGAUGAGAUCAAACAGUAUAGAGACGCCCGUUGGGUGACGCCUCCAGAAGCACUAUGGAGGAUAUAUGGCUUUGACUUGAGCAAGAACCAUCCGCCAGUUCAGCAGCUGCAACUUCAUCUACCCGAUAUGCACAUGGUGGCAUUUCAUAAACGGGACAAGGUCGAAAAGAUCGUUAAUAGACCAGGUGUAGAAGAGUCAAUGCUGACAGCAUACUUCGAUGCAAACAGGCAUGAUGAGGAAGCUCGCAAAAUCUUAUAUCGAGACUUCCCAGAGUAUUAUACAUGGCAGUUUGAUGGUAAAUUCUGGCAGAAAAGGAAAAACUCUGUUUUCCAAAUUGGUAGAGUCAUCUCGGCCCAUCCUGCCGAGGGUGAACGCUACUUUCUUCGUGUUCUAUUGAACAAUGUUGCUGGUGCUACCUCAUAUGAACACCUCAGGACAGUUGAUGGGGUGCUACUACCUUCGUUUCGUGAAGCUGCAGAAAGGAGGGGUUUAAUCGAAGAGGAUAAUACCCUAGAUGAAUGUCUAACGGAAGCUAUUUUAUUCCAGAUGCCUACCUCUCUACGAAGACUAUUUGCAACAAUAUUGGUAUUUUGCGAACCUCAUGAUGUGAUGGGGUUGUGGAUAAAACACUACGAUGCAAUGUCAGAGGACUAUAGCCGCAAUAAUCCAUCCCCGGAUCUCGUGCAACAAAUGGUUUUGAUAGACAUUAGAAACAUGUUGCAGUCUAUGGGGAAGGACAUAAGGUCAUUUCCUCUUCCAGAUAUUGAUCACUCAUAUGAUGAUGCCAGCCAUAUACCUCGUGAGAUAUUUGAGGAAGCUAGCGUUGAGCAGAAUCCUGAAGAUGUGCUAUUGUGUGACUCACUCAACGCCGAGCAAAAGUUUGCCUACAAUGAGAUAAUGACAGCUGUCUACAGCAGACAAGGCGGGCUAUUCUUUGUGGAUGGACCUGGUGGGACGGGAAAGACAUUUUUGUAUAGGGCACUUCUCGCAAAACUACGUAGCCAGGAUAAGCUUGCCGUUGCCACAGCUACAUCUGGGGUCGCAGCGGCCAUAAUGCCAGGUGGGAGGACGGCCCACUCGCGUUUCAAGAUACCCCUAACUCUUCAAGAGGGUGGUUGCUGUAGCUUCACGAAACAGAGUGGUACUGCCAAGUUGUUGCAGCAAGCAGCUCUCAUAAUUUGGGACGAGGCAUCUAUGACAAAGAGGCAAAAUUUAGAAGCACUAGACAACAGCCUACGUGAUAUAAUGGGUCGGUCACACCUACCCUUUGGUGGGAAGACUGUUGUCCUUGGUGGGGAUUUCAGACAAGUACUCCCUGUUGUGCGGAAAGGAUCUAGGGCUCAAAUAGUUGGUGCUUCUCUACGAAGGUCGUAUCUUUGGGAAUCCAUGCGCCACCUAAAGCUUGUUCGCAACAUGAGGGCUCAGAGUGAUCCGUGGUUUGCAGAUUAUUUGUUGCGCAUUGGUGAUGGAACAGAAGAGGUUAACGGAGAUGGCAAUGUUCGUAUUACAGAUGAGAUCUGUAUCCCGUACUCUGGUGAUGCCGAUAAAGAUCUUCAUAGUUUGAUUGACAGCAUCUUUCCAAAUCUGAAUGCAAACAUGGCAGACAAAGACUACAUCACCACCAGAGCGAUUUUAUCUACACGCAAUGAUUGGGUGGACAUGAUUAAUAUGAAAAUGAUUGAUAUGUUUCAGGGUGGUGAGACGGUGUAUCACAGUUUUGACUCCGCGGUAGAUGAUCCACAUAACUACUAUCCAUCGGAGUUUCUUAAUAGCCUGACCCCCAACGGCCUGCCACCACACGUCUUGAAGCUGAAGGUCGGGUGUCCUGUUAUAUUGCUUAGGAAUAUUGACCCCGCCAAUGGGCUAUGUAAUGGUACAAGGUUGGUGGUGCGGGGGUUCCGAAGAAAUACAAUCGACGCUGAAAUUGUUGUGGGGCAGCAUGCUGGGAAGCGGGUAUUUCUUCCUCGAAUACCGCUAUGCCCGUCUGAUGAUGAGAUGUUCCCUUUCCAGUUUAAGAGGAAGCAGUUUCCUAUCAGGCUAAGCUUUGCCAUGACGGUCAAUAAGUCACGGGGCCAAACUAUCCCGAACGUGGGUGUGUACCUGCCUGCACUGGUCUUCUCUCCCAGUUGUACGUUGCGAUGUCUAGAGCCACAUCAAGAACGAAUAUUAAGAUCCUUGCCCUACCAGCUGAUGCGGAGGCACAAGAGGAGGAGGCAAAAAAUAUGGAGAAGAAAAAUGCUAAAAAAAAUACCAUGGAAAAAAAGCCUAAGAAUGCGUUAAAUAAAAAAGAUAAGGAUAAGAAGACCCCAACAACGGAUGGAACUUUCACAAAAAAUAUUGUAUAUAAGGAGGUCCUAACGCCAUAGAUGAGGUAUUUUCAAUUGGCUUAUCAGACUCUACUGGGAGAUGUUCUAUACAUAUUUAUAUGAUGGCAUAAUUACAUUUUGAGUGUUUUGUUGUAAAUAAAUAAAUUAUAUUUUACUAUUAUUGGUUUACUACACAACAUACUCCGGUUUGGUACGGAAUAGCUAUCUUUUUGUGCUAAAAAUCUACUAACAAUUGUA